rfam:Heterocephalus glaber contig97374, whole genome shotgun sequence.
GCGGGUGUAGCUCAAUGGUAUAGUGCUUGCCUGGUAUUCGAGAGGCCCUGGGUUCCAUCCCCAGCUUCGCCA